AUACGGAGGCUGCAAGCGUUACUCGGAAUCACUGGGCGUAAAGCGCGCGCAGGCGGGCUGAUAAGUUGGAUGUGAAAGCCUACGGCUCAACCGUAGAACUGCAUCCAAAACUGUCAGUCUAGAGUCUGGGAGGGGAAGAUGGAAUUAGUUGUGUAGGGGUAAAAUCCGUAGAGAUAACUAGGAAUACCAAAAGCGAAGGCAAUCUUCUGGAACACUACUGACGCUGAGGCGCGAAGGCGUGGGGAGCAAACAGGAUGAGAAACCCCGGUAGUCC
rnacentral:rRNA from 1 species